AAAAGCAGCUUCGCCUAGACUUCGCCUAGACUGCCGCCUUCCCUACAAACUUUCUCAAAGGCUCUUGGCAGUUCCUGGGAUGCUGCCACGCCCAGAUUUCCUACACGACAAGGCUGGUUACCUGCAACUCUUUGGGCACAAGUCAUUCUACUCAUUACUUAGAUUUCCACAAGGAACUUUUUCCUCUUUUUUUUUUUUUUUUGAAUUUUUUUAAAGUAAGCUCCACGCCCACCACAGAGCCCGACACGGGGCUCAAACUCACAACCAUGAGAUCAAGACCAGAGCUGAGAUCAAGAGUCAUACGCUUAACCGCUGAGCCACUGAGUCGCCCAGGUGCCCCUCCUCUUAAAAAUUUUUAUGUCUAUUGUUGUAUAUUUUGUUUCUUCUUAACAGAAACCAGCAAAGAGACGUGUUCCCAAGAGAACAGGUCACGCUGUCAGCUUUGACACAGAGCCGAAGCCAGAAUCAUGACAGUAAACAGUGAAUUCCACUGAGUGUCUGGACACUCAGAACGGAAGAAAAACUUGAGUGUGUCAGUAUGGCCCUAUUUCUCAAAACAAACCUUUCGUCAGAGGAUUUUGAGUUUGAAAGAAAACUAACCCACACAAGAUUCACUAAGAGCCGUUUGAUUUGGUGAAAGACAAACCUGCAGAAUGCUAGGGAAGUCCUUUUUUUUUCUUUUCACCCAAUUUUAAUUUACCACAUAAAAUAAGUAAUCCUAACAAUAUUAAAGAAAGAAAAAAAUCAUCCAUCACUUAACCCGCCUCAUCAAGUGUUGCAAUUUUCUUGUUACCUUCAAGAUCAGGUACAUACCUAGGAUCACAGUAUAGACACAAAUGGGUAUUCUAAUUUUUUCUCGCACUGAAUAUUAUCAUAACUAGUUCUUCUGUUGCCACAUAAUUUCCGUAAUUAAAAUUUUAGUGGCCACAUAAUAUUUCAUCAACUUGAGCUACCAUAAUGAGUUAAUUAUUGGGUGUUUAUGUUAUUUUAAUUCUAGUUCUUUAAUUUCACUUGUAGAUAUAAGUGAGAAGACGGAAAUUACUUUUAAAAAGCCAUGUCUACAAUCUCAUUUUUUCUUUUGGUGUGAAAUUAUCUACCUAUUCAAUGGGAACUGUUCAUUUACU